AGGAUCAAGCUGUGGAUGUUGAAACGGGCUAUGAUCCGGGAUUGUGUAAUCAAACUAAUCAUGGUAAGUUAAAACUGCUAAAAAACCGUGAAGACGAAGACAGAUUUUUGGUUUGUUCUCAAGAUAAAGGAGUUUUCAAGUGGAAAGCUACAGAUGGUGAGUAGCACUUUCAUCUUACAAGCAAAUUGGGAGGGCACCAUCUCGGCGUUUCGCACGACAAUUUAUCGAAAUGUUGGUUUGCCAAAAUUUUCUUUACAGUACUGUAUAUAUUAGAGGACUCAGUCCUUGUUACCGCUCUACGGUUGAUAAUACAUACAUGACACUAUACUUUAUUACCAAUCAUGAACGACA